rnacentral:rRNA from 1 species
AACAAGGUCUCCGUUGGUGAACCAGCGGAGGGAUCAUUAUCGAGUUAUUCAACUCCCAAACCCUAUGUGAACUUACCACUUGUUGCUUCGGCGCGCGCUUCGGCGCCGCCGAGGACACUUAAACUCUUUGUUUUUAUAAGCAUUUCUGAGUGGCCGAAAGGCAAAAAUACAAAUGAAUCAAAACUUUCAACAACGGAUCUCUUGGUUCUGGCAUCGAUGAAGAACGCAGCGAAAUGCGAUAAGUAAUGUGAAUUGCAGAAUUCAGUGAAUCAUCGAAUCUUUGAACGCACAUUGCGCCCGCCAGCAUUCUGGCGGGCAUGCCUGUUCGAGCGUCAUUUCAACCCUCGAGCCCGACUCUUUUGAGGACGGCUCGGCGUUGGGGGACGGCAGACUCCCCCCGGCAUCUCCCCGGGGACGCCGCCCCCGAAAUCUAGUGGCGGCCCUCCGAGGCGACCUCUGCGUAGUAACUUGUUCUCGCACCGGAAAGCUCAGAGCGGCCACGCCGUAAAACCCCAACUUUUUUCAGGUGGACCUCGAAUCAGGUAGGACUACCCGCUGAACUUAAAAAGGUCAAUAAGC